CCUACGGGAGGCAGCAGUGGGGAAUAUUGCACAAUGGGGGAAACCCUGAUGCAGCGACGCCGCGUGAGUGAAGAAGUAUCUCGGUACGUAAAGCUCUAUCAGCAGGGAAGAAAAUGACGGUACCUGACCAAGAAGCCCCGGCUAACUACGUGCCAGCAGCCGCGGUAACACGUAGGGGGCCAGCGUUAUCCGGAUUUCCUGGGGGUAAAGGGAGCGUAGGCGGCGCUGCAAGUCCGGAGUGAAAGUCCAUGGCUUAACCAUGGUACUGCUGUGGAAACUGUAGAGCUUGAGUGCGGGAGGGGCAUGCGGAAUGCGUAGUGUAGCGGUGAAAUGCGUAGAUAUUAGGAGGAACACCGGCGGCGAAGGCGGCCUGCUGGACCGUAACUGACGUUGAGGCUCGAAAGCGUGGGGAGCAAACAGGAUUAGAUACCCGAGUAGUC
rnacentral:rRNA from 1 species